rnacentral:rRNA from 1 species
CAAUAGCGUAUAUUAAAGUUGUUGCAGUUAAAAAGCUCGUAGUUGAAUUUUUGCUUGCCGCCGAUGUCGGAACUUCCGUACGUUCGGCGGCGUGCAUCCUUGGGUGGAACCUGUGUGGCAUUAGGUUGUCGUGCAGGGGAUGCUCAUCGUUUACUGUGAAAAAAUUAGAGUGUUCAAAGCAGGCUUAUGCCGUUGAAUAUAUUGGCAUGGAAUAAUAAGAUAGGACCUUGGUACUAUUUUGUUGGUUUGCGCACCGAGGUAAUGAUUAACAGGGACAGUUGGGGGUAUUCGUAUUCCAUUGUCAGAGGUGAAAUUCUUGGAUUUCUGGAAGACGAACUACUGCGAAAGCAUUUACCAAGGAUGUUUUCAUUAA